rnacentral:rRNA from 1 species
GGCGAACGCUGGCGGCGUGCCUAACACAUGCAAGUCGAGCGGAGAUAAGAGGAGUACUUGUACGAAUUUUAUCUUAGCGGCGGACGGGUGAGUAACACGUGAGUAACCUGCCUUUUACUGGGGAAUAACAUCGAGAAAUCGGUGCUAAUACCGCAUAAUGUCACGAGGCUGCAUGGCCAUGUGACCAAAGGAGCAAUUCGGUAAAAGAUGGACUCGCGUCCGAUUAGGUAGUUGGUGAGGUAACGGCCCACCAAGCCUACGAUCGGUAGCCGAACUGAGAGGUUGAUCGGCCACAUUGGGACUGAGACACGGCGCAGACUCCUACGGGAGGGAGCAGUGGCGAAUAUUGGGCAAUGGGGGAAACCCUGACCCAGCAACGCCGCGUGAAGGAUGAAGGUCUUCGGAUUGUAAACUUCUUUGAUCAGGGACGAAGAAAUGACGGUACCUGAAGAACAAGCCACGGCUAACUACGUGCCAGCCGCCGCAGUAA